rnacentral:rRNA from 1 species
AGCGUGGAGACAGGUGGUGCAUGGCUGUCGUCAGCUCGUGUCGUGAGAUGUUGGGUUAAGUCCCGCAACGAGCGCAACCCUCACCUCUUGUUGCCAUCAGGUCAUGCUGGGCACUCUAGAGGAACUGCCCCGGUCAACGGGGAGGAAGGCGGGGAUGACGUCAAGUCAUCAUGCCCCUUACGUCCUGGGCUACACACGUGCUACAAUGGCCGGUACAAAGGGAUGCCACACCGCGAGGGAGAGCUAAACCCAAAAAGCCGGUCUAAGUUCAGAUUGGAGUCUGCAACUCGACUCCGUGAAGGAGGAAUCGCUAGUAAUCGCGUAUCAGCACGAUGCGGUGAAUACGUUCCCGGGCCUUGUACACACCGCCCGUCACACCACGAAAGCCUGCUGUACUCGAAGUCGCUGAG